GAUGAACGCUGGCGGCGUGCCUAAUACAUGCAAGUCGAGCGAACAGACGAGGAGCUUGCUCCUCUGACGUUAGCGGCGGACGGGUGAGUAACACGUGGAUAACCUACCUAUAAGACUGGGAUAACUUCGGGAAACCGGAGCUAAUACCGGAUCAUAUAUUGAACCGCAUGGUUCAAUAGUGAAAGACGGUUUUGCUGUCACUUAUAGAUGGAUCCGCGCCGCAUUAGCUAGUUGGUAAGGUAACGGCUUACCAAGGCAACGAUGCGUAGCCGACCUGAGAGGGUGACCGGCCACACUGGAACUGAGACACGGUCCAGACUCCUACGGGAGGCAGCAGUAGGGAAUCUUCGGCAAUGGGCGAAAGCCUGACGGAGCAACGCCGCGUGAGUGAUGAAGGUCUUCGGAUCGUAAAACUCUGUUAUUAGGGAAGAACAAAUGUGUAAGUAACUAUGCACGUCUUGACGGUACCUAAUCAGAAAGCCACGGCUAACUACGUG
rnacentral:rRNA from 1 species